AAAGGGGUAGUAUAAUAGUUAAGCACCUAGAAGACGCCGUAACGACGCGACGUCGUAGGUUCGAAUCCUACCCUUUUUA
rnacentral:tRNA from 1 species